rnacentral:rRNA from 1 species
CGGGUGAGUAGCGCGUGGGAACCUGCCCUCUUGUGGGGGAUAACCGAGGGAAACCUCGGCUAAUACCGCAUAAGCCGGCCGGUCUAGAGAUAGAUUGGCCGGGAAAGAUUUAUCGCGAGAGGAGGGGCCCGCGUCGGAUUAGCUUGUUGGUGGGGUAACGGCCUACCAAGGCGAUGAUCCGUAGCUGGUCUGAGAGGAUGAUCAGCCACACUGGGACUGAGACACGGCCCAG